rnacentral:rRNA from 1 species
AAUCCGGUUGAUCCUGCCGGACCUGACUGCUAUCGGAUUGAUACUAAGCCAUGCGAGUCAUUGUAGCAAUACAAGGCAGACGGCUCAGUAACGCGUAGUCAACCUAACCUAUGGACGGGAAUAACCUCGGGAAACUGAGAAUAAUGCCCGAUAGAACACUAUGCCUGGAAUGGUUUGUGUUCCAAAUGAUUUAUCGCCGUAGGAUGGGACUGCGGCCUAUCAGUUUGUUGGUGAGGUAAUGGCCCACCAAGACUAUUACAGGUACGGGCUCUGAGAGGAGUAGCCCGGAGAUGGGUACUGAGACACGGACCCAGGCCCUAUGGGGCGCAGCAGGCGAGAAAACUUUGCAAUGUGCGAAAGCACGACAAGGUUAAUCCGAGUGGUUU